AUUGAACGCUGGCGGCAGGCCUAACACAUGCAAGUCGAGCGGAGCGGCGGACGGGUGAGUAAUGCCUAGGAAUCUGCCUGGUAGUGGGGGAUAACGUCCGGAAACGGGCGCUAAUACCGCAUCCUAUCAGCUGAGCAUAGGUCGGAUUAGCUAGUUGUGGGGGUAAAGGCCUACCAAGGCGACGAUCCGUAACUUGGCUGAGAGGAUGAUCAGUAACACUGGAACGGAGACACGGUCCAGACUCCUACGGGAGGCAGCAGUGGGGAAUAUUGUACAAUGGGCGAAAGCCUGAUCCAGCCAUGCCGCGUGUGUGAAGAAGGUCUUCGGAUUGUAAAGCACUUUAAGUUGGGAGGCGUUACCAACAGAAUAAGCACCGGCUAACUUCGUGCCAGCAGCCGCGGUAAUUC
rnacentral:rRNA from 1 species